rnacentral:rRNA from 1 species
UACGUAGGGGGCUAGCGUUGUCCGGAAUCAUUGGGCGUAAAGCGCGUGUAGGCGGUCCGGUAAGUCCGCUGUGAAAGUCGGGGGCUCAACCCUCGGAUGCCGGUGGAUACUGUCGGGCUUGAGUACGGAAGAGGCGAGUGGAAUUCCUGGUGUAGCGGUGAAAUGCGCAGAUAUCAGGAGGAACACCAAUGGCGAAGGCAGGUCUCUGGGCCGAUACUGACGCUGAGGAGCGAAAGCGUGGGGAGCGAACAGG